UACGGAGGGGGGCUAGCGUUGUUCGGAAUACUGGGCGUAAAGCGUGCGCAGGCGGUUUUGUAAGACAGGCGUGAAAUCCCCCGAGCUCAACUUUGGGAAUUGCGCUUGUGACUGCAAGGCUAGAGUGUGUCAGAGGGGGGGUAGAAUUCCACGUGUAGCAGUGAAAUGCGUAGAGAUGUGGAGGAAUACCGAUGGCGAAGGCAGCCCCCCUGGGACAUGACUGACGCUCAUGCACGAAAGCGUGGGGAGCAAACAGG
rnacentral:rRNA from 1 species